GACGUAGGGCGCGAGCGUUGUCCGGAUUUAUUGGGCGUAAAGAGCUCGUAGGCGGCUCGUCGCGUCGACUGUGAAAACUUGGGGCUCAACUCCGAAACUGCAUUCGAUACUGGCGUGCUUGAGGACUGGAGAGGAGACUGGAAUUCAUGGUGUAGCAGUGAAAUGCGUAGAGAUCAUGAGGAAGACCAGUGGCGAAGGCGGGUCUCUGGACAGUUCCUGACACUGAGACACGAAGGCCAGGGGAGCAAACGGG
rnacentral:rRNA from 1 species